rnacentral:rRNA from 1 species
UACAGAGGGAGCAAGCGUUGUCCGGAAUCAUUGGGCGUAAAGCGCGCGUAGGCGGCCCCGUAAGUCCGCUGUGAAAGUCAAAGGCUCAACCUUUGAAAGCCGGUGGAUACUGUGGGGCUAGAGUACGGAAGAGGCGAGUGGAAUUCCUGGUGUAGCGGUGGAAUGCGCAGAUAUCAGGAGGAACACCAAUAGCGAAGGCAGCUCGCUGGGACGUUACUGACGCUGAGGCGCGAAAGCGUGGGGAGCGAACAGG